rnacentral:rRNA from 1 species
CGGACGGGUGAGUAAUGCCUAGGAAUCUGCCUGGUAGUGGGGGACAACGUUUCGAAAGGAACGCUAAUACCGCAUACGUCCUACGGGAGAAAGCAGGGGACCUUCGGGCCUUGCGCUAUCAGAUGAGCCUAGGUCGGAUUAGCUAGUUGGUGAGGUAAUGGCUCACCAAGGCGACUAUCCGUAACUGGUCUGAGAGGAUGAUCAGUCACACUGGAACUGAGACACGGUCCAG